AGCCUUUGGAAAGGAUUAAAGGUUAUACCUGCCCAAUGUUAUAUUAAUGGCCGCGGUACUUUGACCGUGCUAAGGUAGCACAAUCAAUUGGCCCUUAAUUAGGGUCAGGUAUGAAUGGAGUUACGGGGCUUAGCUGUCUCUAGACUAUUUAAUUGAAGUUGCUAUAUAGGUGAAAAAGCCUGUAUUAAGAAAAAAGACGAGAAGACCCUUAGAGUUUUACUUAAAAAAGAGUUAUUUCUUCACUAGUUUUGUUGGGGCAACAUAGGAGAAGAACUAAACCUCCUAAAGGAUAUAAACCGAUGUUUUUAAAUAUGAAUAAACUACCUUAGGGAUAACAGCAUAAUUUUAAAAAUAAGUUUGUGACCUCGAUGUUGGACUAGGAAACUUAAGGGCUAGCCGCCUUUUGGUAAGGUUCUGUUCGAACUAUAAUUCCU
rnacentral:rRNA from 1 species